rnacentral:rRNA from 1 species
UACGUAGGUGGCAAGCGUUAUCCGGAAUUAUUGGGCGUAAAGAGCGCGCAGGUGGUUGAUUAAGUCUGAUGUGAAAGCCCACGGCUUAACCGUGGAGGGUCAUUGGAAACUGGUCGACUUGAGUGCAGAAGAGGGAAGUGGAAUUCCAUGUGUAGCGGUGAAAUGCGUAGAGAUAUGGAGGAACACCAGUGGCGAAGGCGGCUUCCUGGUCUGUAACUGACUACUGAGGCGCGAAAGCGUGGGGAGCAAACAGGAUUAGA